rnacentral:misc_RNA from 1 species
GGAUACAGCAGAAAAUAUUAUUAAGGAAUUAAUUGGCCUAGGGAUGCUUGAAGAACGUUAUGUCUUUUACAGUGAAGUAAAAGUUCCUAAAUUAUAUGUCAAAUCAUGCCUUGUUGAAGUUGAGGAGCAAGAUUUCAUUUCUAAAGUUGCCAAUUCGCUGACCCAUGCAUUUAUUAAAAAUGAUGGACAAGAACUGCCUCCUAACUUCAACCGCUUUCAAAUUCAAUCCUUGUUUGCCUCAGUAGAUUACUGUGAUGGUCAUAUUGGACCAUUGUCUCAGGUGUUUUGGCAAACUGUCUGUGGGUUGCGGUUUUUGUUGGUAUUGAAUUUGUAUGCCGCAGUAGAAUAUUUACCAGAUGAAGUGGGAGAUUUGGUUCAC